AUGGCAGGGAAACCCGGCAGCCUCAAGGGCGUCGCCCUCAUCAGCGGCGGUAGCGCCGACAGCGCUGUCGCCGGCGCCCUCCACUUCGUCGAAGACCCCUCCUCCGGGUAUACCGAGGUGAGGGGGAGGGUCUCGGGCCUCGCCCCGGGCCUCCACGGCUUCCACAUCCACGCCUUCGGCGACACCACCAACGGCUGCAACUCCACCGGACCCCAUUUCAAUCCUCAUAAUAAGUUCCAUGGAGCACCGAUGGAUGAUGAACGACAUGUGGGCGACCUGGGAAACAUACAAGCCAACAAGGAUGGUGUUGCAGAAAUCUUCAUAAAGGACUUGCAGAUUUCACUAAGGGGGCCUCAUUCCAUAUUGGGAAGGGCAGUUGUUGUUCAUGCUGAUUCUGAUGACCUGGGAAAGGGUGGCCAUGAACUCAGCAAGUCAACAGGAAAUGCAGGAGCCAGAAUUGGAUGUGGUAAAUGGCAAACCCUUCAUUUGUUUUCAACACUGAGCAAAUGCACGCACAAGGUGUAA
rnacentral:rRNA from 1 species